rnacentral:rRNA from 1 species
AGUGAACGCUGGCGGCAGGCCUAACACAUGCAAGUCGAGCGGCAGCGCGGGGGCAACCCUGGCGGCGAGCGGCGGACGGGUGAGGAAUUCGUCGGAAUCUGCCUUUUUGUGGGGGAUAACGUAGGGAAACUUACGCUAAUACCGCAUACGUCCUACGGGAGAAAGUGGGGACCGCAAGGCCUCACGCAGAAAGAUGAGCCGACGACCGAUUAGCUAGUUGGUGGGGUAAAGGCCCACCAAGGCGACGAUCGGUAGCUGGUCUGAGAGGAUGAUCAGCCACACUGGGACUGAGACACGGCCCAGACUCCUACGGGAGGCAGCAGUGGGGAAUAUUGGACAAUGGGCGCAAGCCUGAUCCAGCCAUGUCGCGUGUGUGAAGAAGGCCUUCGGGUUGUAAAGCACUUUUGUCCGGAAAGAAAUCCCUGGAGCUAAUACCUUCGGGGGAUGACGGUACCGGAAGAAUAAGCACCGGCUAACUUCGUG